UUCACAUACUGUCACACAAACAACCUUUUUGUCUUAAUACUUCAUAUUGAAAGUAUUAAGAAAAAAAGGUUGUUUGUGUGACAGUAUAUGAA